rnacentral:rRNA from 1 species
AAAACUUUCCACGUGAACUGUAUCAAAACAACUAAUUGGGGGUUUAAUUGGCGUCGGCUGCUGACAUCUUUUUGUUGGCGGCUGCUGCUGAGCAAGCCCUAUCAUGGCGAAUAUUCGGACCUUGGUCUGAACUAGUAGCUUUCGUUUUAAACCCAUUCCUAAUUACUGAUUAUACUGUGGGGACGAAAGUCUCUGCUUUUAACUAGAUAGCAACUUUCAGCAGUGGAUGUCUAGGCUCGCACAUCGAUGAAGAACGCUGCGAACUGCGAUACGUAAUGCGAAUUGCAGGAUUCAGUGAGUCAUCGAAAUUUUGAACGCAUAUUGCACCUCCGGGUUAUUCCUGGAGGUAUGCCUGUAUCAGUGUCCGUACAUCAAACUUGGUUUUCUUCUUUCCGUGUAGUCGGGGGAGGAUAUGCCAGAUGUGAAGUGUCUUACGGCUGAUUUUCGGAUCGGCUGUGAGUCCUUUGAAAUGUACAGAACUGACUCUCUUUGUUCGAAAAGCGUGGCAUUGCUGGUUUGUAAGGCUGUUCAUGUGACCAGUCGGCGAUCGGUUUGUCUGCUGUGGCGUUA